GCGCCAUCUUGUGGCCUCUAUCUGUCACUGUAAUUCCUUCAAAGCUUUGUGGAAAAUGCUUCACCUGUAAAAGUUCCGUAGUCACCACUGACAGUUUUGUUUACCUGCAGGACGUUCAGCGGCGUCAUUCGAUGACGUCACAGGAGAGUCAGAACGCAAAAGUAGCAAGUAAACCUAUGACGUUCAUCUCUGCAUCAUUAUAUUUGGAUGUAAUUGGUGGAGAAAUAUCAGUUAACACUUCGCAGCGUUCCUCGCAGCAUUCACUUGGCUUACUCUACAUUUACAUCGUGUUUUUAAAAAGCUUGUUAAAAAGUUUUCAAACAAUUUUAAAGGACUUUGGACAGUCUGAAAGUUUUAAACCAGUCAGCUUAAAAGUUUGACAACUGUAGUUUCCUCCAGACUGUUUUCAUGGAUCAAAUGGAGAGUGGAGACGGACAGCAUAACGACCCCAUUCGAAGGGUACCAAUCCCUCAGCUGCUUCUUUUACUGGAGCAACAUGAAGAAAUCGAUGCAAUUCGCCCGAUGAUCCGCUGGCUGCAGGUUGGUCUUUCACGUGGGGUCUUGACUGAAGAAAGCCUCCUUGUUUUGAAUCAAGUGAUUCUUCAACUGCCGCAAGAUGAAAUUGACGACGAUCUUCCUAACAAUGAAGAAGAGGCUGAUGUUCUUGCAGGAGGAAUUGAAAUUAAUCCACCUCAGGAAGAAGAAGGACCCCGGGAAAAUAUUAUAGCAGGGCUCCCAGCAAGAGAAAUUGAAUUAAACCCGGCCCAGCAAGCAGUAGAUCCGAUAGUGGAAGAAAUUAGAUGGUUCUGGGAAGACGAGGGGUCUGACAGUGACAACGAAAGUGUCCCUGAAAAUGACAAUGAUGACAGUGAUGCUGAUAACAGUGACAAUGAAGACAGUGACCCUGAUGAAAGUGACCCUGAUGAAAGUGACCCUGAUAACAGUGACAAUGAAGAUUCAGACAGUGGACAGGCUGCCCCUGUGUUAUUGCCCCCCAGCCCAGUACCGGGGGGUUCCAGGAGGAGACCAAGGGAAGAGGAGGACGAUGAAGAGGAAGAUGGGAGAGACAGAAAACAUUUUAAACGCUGA
rnacentral:lncRNA from 1 species